rnacentral:piRNA from 1 species
UGAAUCUCAGACUUGAAAAAU